rnacentral:rRNA from 1 species
UACAGAGGUCUCAAGCGUUGUUCGGAUUCAUUGGGCGUAAAGGGUGCGUAGGCGGCGCGGUAAGUCGGGUGUGAAAUCCCCCAGCUCAACUGGGGAAUUGCGCCUGAAACUACCGUGCUCGAGGAAGACAGAGGUACGCGGAACUUAGGGUGGAGCGGUGAAAUGCGUUGAUAUCCUAAGGAACACCGGUGGCGAAAGCGGCGUACUGGGUCUUAUCUGACGCUGAGGCACGAAAGCUAGGGUAGCGAACGGG